GGUUCAUUCAAAUUUCUUCCCUAUCAACUUUCGAUGUUUGGGUAUUGGCCAAACAUGGUUGCAACGGGUAACGGAGGGUAGGGCUCGACCCCGGAGAAGGAGCCUGAGAAACGGCUACUACAUCCAAGGAAGGCAGCAGGCGCGCAAAUUACCCAAUCCCGACCGGGGAGGUAGUGACAAUAAAUACUGAUACAGGGCUCUUUUGGGUCUUGUAAUUGGAAUGAGUACAAUUUAAAUCCCUUAACGAGGAACAAUUGGAGGGCAAGUCUGGUGCCAGCAGCCGCGGUAAUUCCAGCUCCAAUAGCGUAUAUUAAGGUUGGUGUGGUUAAGAAGCUCGUAGUUG
rnacentral:rRNA from 1 species